GGGAAGAUCCCCUGGAGGAGGGCAUGGCAAGGCAACCACUGUUCUUUCCUGGAGAAUCCCAUGUUCAGAGGAGCCUGAUGGGCUACAGCCCAUAGGGUUGCAAAGAGUCAGACACGACUGCCUUCUCUCUGGGUCCAAUGUGAUGGACCAAGGCUUCUCUGGAUCAUGGGAUUCUCCACUCAGUGCCUCCAGAUUUUGUGAGAGAGAUCUUUGUCUUUUUGGUUGUAACAGAGGAAGAAAGUCAGAGUUAGGGCUGGUAGGAUCAGGCAGUGGAAACAUGAAUUCCUCCUUUCUUCAGAUUCAGGGAUUUCCUUCUAAUGGAGCCAUCACCACCGACAGGAAAAAGUAAUUCUCAAGAGAGUUGGGGCUACAGCUGGCAAAUGCCUGGUACAGUCACUGACGUUGCCUACUCCCCAUGCCUUAGCACAGACACCACUUGACCGGCUCACUGGGACAGGAGCCCCAGAUCCUUCUUGGUGCAGUGUUCUAUGCAGUCUCUGCCAAUCAAAGCUGACAUCUGAGAUGAAGCCCACUCCCUAUGCCUGUUCCAAGCUUUGGCUGUGAAUUCUUUAUCGUGACUUGUCUUCCAGGCAUCCUAUUAUAUUGUUGUGACUUCCACAGCACUUGGAGAUUCAGAGGACAAUUUGGUGUUGAUUCACAGAAUACCCUCUGGAUCAAUGGUGUUCAGUGUACGCUAAACUUGACUGACUCACUGGUAUCUGUUUGUCUCCUCUACCAACCAAGCUGGUUCUCUAGGCUCCGCAGGAGUUCUGGCUGAGACCUCU
ensembl:lncRNA